rnacentral:rRNA from 1 species
GACGAACGCUGGCGGCGUGCUUAACACAUGCAAGUCGAGCGGAAAGGCCCUUUCGGGGGUACUCGAGCGGCGAACGGGUGAGUAACACGGGAGUAAUCUGCCCUGGACUCUGGGAUAGCCACCGGAAACGGUGAUUAAUACCGGAGAUGACACCUUGCUGCAUGGUGGGGUGUGGAACGUUUUUUCGGUCCAGGAUGUGCUCGCGGCCUAUCAGCUUGUUGGUGAGGUAAUGGCUCACCAAGGCUUUGACGGGUAGCCGGCCUGAGAGGGUGACCGGUCACACUGGGACUGAGACACGGCCCAGACUCCUACGGGAGGCAGCAGUGGGGAAUAUUGGACAAUGGGCGGAAGCCUGAUCCAGCAACGCCGCGUGAGGGAUGACGGCCUUCGGGUUGUAAACCUCUUUCAGUACCGACGAAGCGAAAGUGACGGUAGGUACAGAAGAAGGACCGGCCAACUACGUGCCAGCCGCCGCCGUAAAAC